GUGUGUGUAUUUAUUUAUAUAUAUAUAUAUAUAACUCUCUCUCGCGCGCGCGUGCGCGCGCGCGAGCGAGACAUAUAUAUGAGAGAGAUAUAUAUAU
rnacentral:miRNA from 1 species